rnacentral:rRNA from 1 species
AACGUCGCUGGCGGCACGCUAACACCUGCAAGUUGAACGCAGUAGCAAUACUGAGUGGCAAACGGGUGAGUAUAAUGUAGGAAUCUGCCUUUUGGUUUGGAAUAACACGGGGAAACCUGUGCUAAUACCGAAUAAGCCUUUACAGGGAAAGUUUUAACGCCGAAAGAUGAGCCUGCACUUGAUUAGCUAGUUGGUAAGGUAAAAGCUUACCAAGGCAACGAUCAAUAGCUGUUCUUAGAGGAAGACCAGCCACAUUGGGACUGAGACACGGCCCAGACUCCUACGGGAGGCAGCAGUGGGGAAUCUUGCACAAUGGGGGAAACCCUGAUGCAGCGAUGCCGCGUGAGUGAAGAAGGCCUUUGGGUUGUAAAACUCUUUCGUCGGGGAAGAAAAUGACUGUACCCGAAUAAGAAGGUCCGGCUAACUUCGUGCCAGCAGCCGCGGUAAUACGAAGGGACCUAGCGUAGUUCGGAAUUACUGGGCUUAAAGAGCUCGUAGGUGGUUAAAUAAGUUGAUGGUGAAAUCCCAAGGCUCAACCUUGGAACUGCCAUCAAAACUUUUUAGCUAGAGUGUGAUAGAGGUAAGUGGAAUUUCUAG